rnacentral:misc_RNA from 1 species
GGUUGUGUCGAUUAUAGGGUGCAAAAUUCAAUAUUUGUUCAAUCUGAAUCUGUAUAAUGAAACAAGCGUCAUUCGAUCUCUCCUUAACCUAAGCAGUCCCAUCAAUAACUUACUGCCCUGUUAGUAUAGUUUAUUCAGAAUACAUUUUAAUGGUUCGUCACAUUCUAGGACUAACCUACACGAACAACAAUAAUCGGAACUAAACUCAUCUACAAAUGUAACAAGGAUGACCCAAUUUAUGUUGGUGAGAAAUAGAUAUUGUCUUGCACCACUGGAGCGAUGCCUUCUCGAAAAAUGCAAGAAGCUAUGCGGAAAUCGAAUCUAUCACGGCAAUGUAGAAAAAUCAAAUGGCAAUCGUUUAUCUGCCAAACGGCAAACUCUAUCCCGCACAGUGUUGCGAGAGCGUAUAAUACGCGACAUACGUCUUACAAAGGAACGAAUGGAAGAAGUUAUAGAACGGGAAAACAUCUGGACGAUACCAAACUUUCUUUGCAUAGGUCGUAUAUUGACAUCGCCAUACCUGGGAUACCUGAUUGUAUCCCAAGAUUACCAGGUUGCGCUCUGGCUGCUUGGAAUAGCAGGAGUUACAGAUUUGGCCGAUGGAUGGAUAGCUCGAACUUGGGCAUCUCAAGCAUCAAAGUUGGGAAGUUUUUUGGAUCCCAUAGCAGACAAGUUACUGAUAGGCACGCUCUUCCUGUCUCUUACCUGGACCGGACUUAUUCCCGCGCAACUGACCUACUUGGUCGUUGCCAGAGAUAUCCUUUUGGUAAUCGGUGCCUCUUUCAUCAGAUAUCGAUCACUGCCUAUGCCCAGAACUUUGGUGAAAUAUUUUGACCCAACGUACGCCUCAGUGCAGCUAGCGCCGACGUUGGCUAGCAAACUAAAUACCGGAGUACAAUUGUGCCUGGUCGGUAGUACCUUAGCUGCUCCAGUUUUUCAUUUCGUUGAUCACCCUCUGUUGCAAGGCCUUUGCUACCUGACAGCCGUCACAACCCUAGCUGGAGGCCUCAGUUACCUGGUAUCAAAAGAUACGUACAAGUUUCUUCGUAAGAGGAAGAUCAACCCUCCAUCAUCACCUUCAUGACACUACUAGUUGACUCGAGCGUAACCACAUCACAAAGACCAAAUUUGCAAUCAUUCUGUGCAUUCCGCAUGUGAGAAGCGUAUCUGUGAACCACAGUCUGACUGCCGGCUCAAUGGCUCAUCAGCAGUCAAUGUGUGGAUAGUAACUAAACUGGUUGAGAUCCAAGUCAAUCUUCGUCCGCUUUCCUAUUGACGAAAUCGAUCACGGUAUAACCGGAUGUAAUAUCAAUUGUACCAAUCACAUUCUACUGCAUAAAUUUGACGCCGAAUCGACCCAGCAGGUGA